rnacentral:rRNA from 1 species
UACGGAGGGGGCUAGCGUUUUUCGGAAUUACUGGGCGUAAAGCGGGUGUAGGCGGAUUGCUAAGUCGGAGGUGAAAGCCCAGGGCUCAACCCUGGAAUUGCCUUCGAUACUGGUAGUCUCGAGUGCAGGAGAGGUGAGCGGAAUUCCGAGUGUAGAGGUGAAAUUCGUAGAUAUUCGGAGGAACACCAGAGGCGAAGGCGGCUCACUGGCCUGUUACUGACGCUGAGACCCGAAAGCGUGGGGAGCAAACAGG